rnacentral:rRNA from 1 species
GAUGAACGCUGGCGGCGUGCUUAACACAUGCAAGUCGAACGGAAAGGCCCUGCUUUUGUGGGGUGCUCGAGUGGCGAACGGGUGAGUAACACGUGAGUAACCUGCCCUUGACUUUGGGAUAACUUCAGGAAACUGGGGCUAAUACCGGAUAGGAGCUCCUGCUGCAUGGUGGGGGUUGGAAAGUUUCGGCGGUUGGGGAUGGACUCGCGGCUUAUCAGCUUGUUGGUGGGGUAGUGGCUUACCAAGGCUUUGACGGGUAGCCGGCCUGAGAGGGUGACCGGCCACAUUGGGACUGAGAUACGGCCCAGACUCCUACGGGAGGCAGCAGUGGGGAAUAUUGCACAAUGGGCGGAAGCCUGAUGCAGCAACGCCGCGUGCGGGAUGACGGCCUUCGGGUUGUAAACCUCUUUCGCCUGUGACGAAGCGUGAGUGACGGUAAUGGGUAAAGAAGCACCGGCUAACUACGUG